ACCUGGGUGGCUCAGUCAGUUGAGCGUCUGACUUCAACUCAGGUCAUGAUCUCACAGUUUGUGGGUUUGAGCCCUGCUUUGAGUU
rnacentral:tRNA from 1 species